GACGAACGCUGGCGGCGUGCUUAACACAUGCAAGUCGAACGGAAAGGCCCUGCUUUUGUGGGGUGCUCGAGUGGCGAACGGGUGAGUAACACGUGAGUAACCUGCCCUUGACUUUGGGAUAACUUCAGGAAACUGGGGCUAAUAUCGGAUAGGAGCUCCUGCCGCAUGGUGGGGGUUGGAAAGUUCCGGCGGUUGGGGAUGGACUCGCGGCUUAUCAGCUUGUUGGUGGGGUAGUUGCUUACCAAGGCUUUGACGGGUAGCCGGCCUGAGAGGGUGGCCGGCCACAUUGGGACUGAGAUACGGCCCAGACUCCUACGGGAGGCAGCAGUCGGGAAUAUUGCGCAAUGGGCGGAAGCCUGAUGCAGCAGCGCCGCGUGCGGGAUGACGGCCUUCGGGUUGUAAACCGCUUUCGCCUGUGACGAAGCGUGAGUGACGGUAAUGGGUAAAGAAGCACCGGCUAACUACGUG
rnacentral:rRNA from 1 species